rnacentral:tRNA from 1 species
GCCCGGAUGAGCUUCGGUGGUCCGGGGUGCGGGCUUCAAACCCGUAGCUGCUUAGCGGCAGAGUGGUUCAAUUCCACCUUUCGGGCG